rnacentral:lncRNA from 1 species
UAAAUGUGUGUGUGUGUGUGUGUAAAUGUGUGUGUGUGUGUGUGUGUGUGUGUGUGGAGAAAUAAAAUUAAAUAUAUAGAAAUAAAACAAUAUAUAGCUACCAAGAGAAUAAAUUUAAUAUUAAAAAUAAUGUGGAUCUGCUGGGACAAACUAUACAGAUCUAGGCCUAUUGUGUUUGUAUGUAGUGGUUGCAUAUAAGUUUGAAUGGGUGAGCAAAAUCCUCUGACACAGUGACUGAAGGCAACAACAGUUUAAUCAAAUCAUAUAUCUUUUAUUGAGAGAGAGAGAGAGAUUGUGCAUAAGCAUUUUUGGAGAAUAAAUACAUGGUUUCUUUUCCUUUUAAUGAUCUACAAAGACUUGAAAUGAUGAUUCUGAUGAUCAAAUUUUAUUUGUGCUUUUUAAAGUGUCUAGUCCCAAAUACAGUCUCUAGUCCACCAACACACAAUUCCAAUAUUAUUUUUGAUGAAAGGAGUGAAGUAAUUUUUGUGGAAGCACUGAUUCCAUUGCUUAUGCCAAAGACUAAGGUCCCAACUCCACACGAAGGAUGACAGUCCUUGUCUGCACAAGUGAAAUUCUUGGGACCGACUGACUGCCUGAUCUCUUUUUUCUAUCUUUUUCAAAAAUAAGAAUUAAGAAGUAUGGUAUUUAUAUAUCAUUAUAUAUUGUUGUUUCUUGCUAAAAUGUCUAUUAUUAUUAUUAUUAUUAUUAUUAUUAUUAUUAUUAUUAUGUUGUUGUUUAUCAUAUGAGCACAAAAUAAUUCCAGAGAAAAGUGCUAUGUCAGACAAGAGUCAAGACAGCUACUUGUGAUGUUUAGUUGUGUGUUAACUAACAGUCUGUGUCAGAGCUGAGAAACUUU